ACCUGCGGAGGGAUCAUUACCGAGUUAUACAACUCAUCAACCCUGUGAACAUACCUAAAACGUUGCUUCGGCGGGAACAGACGGCCCUGUAACAACGGGCCGCCCCCGCCAGAGGACCCCUAACUCUGUUUUUAUAAUGUUUUUCUGAGUAAACAAGCAAAUAAAUUAAAACUUUCAACAACGGAUCUCUUGGCUCUGGCAUCGAUGAAGAACGCAGCGAAAUGCGAUAAGUAAUGUGAAUUGCAGAAUUCAGUGAAUCAUCGAAUCUUUGAACGCACAUUGCGCCCGCCAGUAUUCUGGCGGGCAUGCCUGUUCGAGCGUCAUUACAACCCUCAGGCCCCCGGGCCUGGCGUUGGGGAUCGGCGGAAGCCCCCUGUGGGCACACGCCGUCCCUCAAAUACAGUGGCGGUCCCGCCGCAGCUUCCAUUGCGUAGUAGCUAACACCUCGCAACUGGAGAGCGGCGCGGCCAUGCCGUAAAACACCCAACUUCUGAAUGUG
rnacentral:rRNA from 1 species